rnacentral:lncRNA from 1 species
UAACACUAACUAAUCUGAGUUUCAAACAGAAAAAAAAAACAAACUAACUAGUAUAUUAGUUCAAUCACCAUUUCAACACAAUUAGAAUGAUGGACAAAACUACCGAAACCCAUAAAAACUUCUCCUGUUUUCAGCUUCUCUGCAACUCAAUUUCCAAUUCAUUCUUAUUCUUCAACAAUCCAUGAAUAAUCCUAUUUGCUCAGUUGCAUAUAAUUGGUUAUUUCAUUCAAAGAAAUCGCAAUCAUUGUUUCACUUAACCUUCAAAUGCCAAAAAUUAAUUUCAAAAAAUAAUGAAAAAGAACGCAAAAAACCUAAAAUCAAAUAAAAGGGGAAAGCAGAAAUAACACUCACCAACCCAAUUUGGCAAGCAACAAAUCUCCUUCCAGGAUUCAACUUCGUCCAUGAUGUUCGAACUGGGCAUGCGAUUCCGCACUUGCAAAAUCGAAAAUCCAUCUUUGUGAAGGAGAGAGGAAGAGCGAGGGAGAAAGCAAGAAAGGGAGGCACUGACAGAUGAAAUCGGGAUUUAGGUCAAAAAG